ACCUCCCGGCAGCCUGGCCAGGCCCAGAACUCUCUCCAGUCAGCCUCUACAGACCAAGCUCAUGACUCACAAUGGCCUAUUUAGGCCCAUACCCUACCUCACGGCAGUCUCCGCAGAUGAGCCUACUGCCUCACAACAGCCUCCACAGGCACAGCUCCAUCGUUCCAAUGGCCUCUUUAGACCCAGCUCCUGCCUCCCAGCCUUCUCUCCAGGCCCUGAACUUUCUCCGGUCUCCCUCUGUUGUCCGAGGCUGGAGGGUAGUAGUGCUAUCGCAGCUGACUGCAGCCUCAACCUUCCAGGCUGAAGCGAUCCUCCCAUCUCAACCUCCCACGUGGCUGAGACUACAGGUGCUUGCCACUACGCCCAACUAAUAUUUGGUAUUUUCGUAUACGUGGAUUCCAGAGGGGUGACAGCGAAACGUGGGACCAUCCAGUUUCAGGAAAACAAGCUUAACACGCCCACUGAUUCUACAUUAUGCAGAUUCUUCAGGCCCAGCAUCUGCCUCACUGUGGACCCCCCAAGCCAAGCUCCCAACCUUUCAGCAGCUUCUACACACCCAGCUCCCACCUGCCAGUGGCCUCUUCAGGCCCAUGGGGCUCAUUCCUCACAACAGCCUUUCCAGUCCCAGUUUUUCCCUUCCGGCGGCCUCUCCGGGCUGAGAACCUCCUCAAGUCGGCCUCUCCAGACUCACUUGCACCCUCCAGGCGUCCUCUCCGGGCCAAGCUCCUCUUCCUGGCUGCGUCUCCAGGCCCGACUCCUGCCUCUCAACAACCUCUUUGGACUCAGUGCCUACCCAUCUCCUGGCGUCCUUGGUCGGCCCACAGCUUCCUCAAGCCAAGCUCCCCAGGCCCAGGUCAGGCCUCACGGUGCCCCCUCCACGAUGAGCUCCUGCCCUCCAAUGGCACCUGCAGGACCCAAAUGGUCUCCGGUCGGUGGGCUCCUCCACGCCAAGCUUGGGCCUCCCGGUGACCUCUGCAGGCCCAAGUUGUCCUGAAGUCGGCAUCUCCCAGCCAUGCCUCCCAGCAAGUAAGCAAGCUCUUUUGGCUCAACUCCUGCCCAGCUCCCAACCGCCUUUGUAGGUCCCGAACUUUCUCCAGCCAAGUUCUUUGGGCCUCAUUCCUGCCGCCCGGUGGCCUGUACGGGCCCAGCAAUGGUUGGAGAACGGCCUCUGCAGGUCCCGCUCUUGCCUCCCAGGGGCCUCUCCAGGCCCAGCUCUUGCCCCCACGGCGGCC